AGUGAACGCUGGCGGUAGGCCUAACACAUGCAAGUCGAACGGCAGCACAGUAAGAGCUUGCUCUUACGGGUGGCGAGUGGCGGACGGGUGAGGAAUACAUCGGAAUCUACUUUUUCGUGGGGGAUAACGUAGGGAAACUUACGCUAAUACCGCAUACGACCUACGGGUGAAAGCAGGGGAUCUUCGGACCUUGCGCGAUUGAAUGAGCCGAUGUCGGAUUAGCUAGUUGGCGGGGUAAAGGCCCACCAAGGCGACGAUCCGUAGCUGGUCUGUGAGGAUGAUCAGCCACACUGGAACUGAGACACGGUCCAGACUCCUACGGGAGGCAGCAGUGGGGAAUAUUGGACAAUGGGCGCAAGCCUGAUCCAGCCAUACCGCGUGGGUGAAGAAGGCCUUCGGGUUGUAAAGCCCUUUUGUUGGGAAAGAAAAGCAGCAGGUUAAUACCCCGCUGUUCUGACGGUACCCAAAGAAUAAGCACCGGCUAACCUCGUG
rnacentral:rRNA from 1 species